rnacentral:tRNA from 1 species
GAACUUAGGAUAACCACAAACCGGAGACCUUCAAAGCCUCAAACAAGAGCACACUCUCUUAGUGCCUGACUAAAACCUG